GCCGAGGUCGCAUAGUCUGGUAUUGCGCAGGAUUGCUAAUCCUGUGUCCCUAGGACACGGGGGUUCAAAUCCCCCCCUCGGCG
rnacentral:tRNA from 1 species